CGCUAUGGGCGGGCCGUGAUAGGGAGACCUUCGGGUCGGCUGGUUGCAGUGGUGCCAGUCUGCCAACCUGUCAUUGAGCCCGCUCACCACU
rnacentral:antisense_RNA from 1 species